rnacentral:rRNA from 1 species
GGGAGUGGCAAGCGUUAUCCGGAAUUAUUGGGCGUAAAGCGUCCGCAGGCGGCCCUUCAAGUCUGCUGUUAGAAAGUGGGAGCUUAACUCCAUCAUGGCAGUGGAAACUGAGGGGCUUGAGUGUGGUAGGGGCAGAGGGAAUUCCCGGUGUAGCGGUGAAAUGCGUAGAUAUCGGGAAGAACACCAGUGGCGAAGGCGCUCUGCUGGGCCAUCACUGACGCUCAUGGACGAAAGCCAGGGGAGCGAAAGGGAUUAGAUACCCCUGUAGCCCUGGCCGUAAACGAUGAACACUAGGUGUCGGGGGAAUCGACCCCCUCGGUGUCGUAGCCAACGCGUUAAGUGUUCCGCCUGGGGAGUACGCACGCAAAGUGUG